CCAAAAGAAGAAGAAGAAGCUUGAGAUGCACCAUUGGUGGUACUGCCUCUUUUUGUGGCUCCUUCCAUUGUGAAUUGACGGAUCGUUGUUUCUGGUUUUCUGGCUGCUGUAUGUUGGACGCUCACGGUGGUUUACAGGUAACUGCACGUGCAAGGGUGGCUGUGAUUUUGGUUAGUUUGGGGCAGAAUACAUCUACUGCUGUGACGGCGCUGCUGUUUUGCCUGGGUCUCAUCUUGAUUUAAUUUGGUUACGUGUGUGUGUGUAUUGUGGUUGUGAGUUAUUUGUUUCCUUGAGCAAAUAUUUGACUAUCUGUGGUUUUGUUUCGGAGUGUAAUUGUUUAGGUUUUUGUUUUGUGUGUGGGGUGUUUUGUAAUUUCUCGUAUUUUUCAGUCAACUUGUGUAGUG